GUUUUGCGCUGAGACAUCAGGUCCCCCAGCAUGAUCUCAACGUAUGGAAAGCUGGACCCUGCCGAGGGCCUCUGUGUACGAGUGGACUGCACUUCCUUCAGCGGGAACUUCACCAUAAGCUCCUAAGGAACCCAGAGGAGAUUUGCAAAGACUGCCAGUCAGCAGCCAAUAAGUUUGACUCACAUGGGUGUCUUUAUUGAGGAAAUUCAGUCCAUUCUGAUUGAUAGCCAGUAAACAAGGGGCCACAAUAGAGCUGUUGCUGCUGCUCUGGAUGUAGAAGAAGGAGGAGCCAAACAUGGGGAAGGCACUGACCAGCCCUAAGGAUGACAAAGCACAGACUAUUACAGGUAAUUACAGAAACAUGUAUAAGACUGCUCCUAACACUGAAUGUGACUAUUAUGCACAAAUGUGGGAAAAGGCUAUGAAAAAAUAAAUGAUCCUUAGAAAGAUAUCAUGUCAGUGCAUUGGAGACCACUAUCUACUGUGCUGACUGGAAUACCUUUUUCCAUUACCAAGAUUUCCUCAUCGACUUUGAAUAAAAUAGAAUGAAAUUAAAGCAGGCUAUUGCACCAGCUUUUCCCACUUUCCACAAUGGAACAUUUGUUGCUUAUGAAUAUUUAGCCUGAGAGAAUGGACCAUAUUAUCUGUUGAGAGUGAGGAGCUAAUGCUGUGCUUUACCCAGGAACUGUGCUCUGGCUUGGUGAGGGCUCAGGGCCUGAACCUGCUGCAUGUGCUGUGUCACCAUGUUCAACCACUGCUGUGGCCGCUGCUGCCCAUACAGCUGAGGAGGGAUGCAGUCCUGAGCCUCGCGCCUGAGACACACACACACACACACACAGAGCAUAACGCUUCCUGCAGGAGACCGCCUUCGUUCGCACCCAAUCAGCAACAUACAUAAGCUUUCUUCAACUUUAAACAGAACAACUUUAAACAGCCAUUUUUGUGGCGUUUCAAUGAACGCAAUGUGAUUAAUUCAGCGGGUUUAAUGUUUUCAAUGAAUACCAUGUUAUGGAUUUAAUGUUGAGUUCACUUGCUACAGCUUACAACAUAUUUUGAACUUGAAACACAGUCUUUUUAGAGACGUAAUUGGUAGACCCAUGGGCACAGAUUGACUGCACAAUGUGACAGAAAGUACAAUGGCUCAGCAGACGCACAUGGUAGGGAGGUAAAUGCUGUCCUUGGCGCGGUGUUGUAAGGCAGCCAGCUUGGAGACCUGCUGUAACAGCUGCUCGCUGACCUUCCCCUGGGGGAGAACGUUGAGCAGGGCCUUCAGGUAGUCUGGAAGCACCUGUAGAGGUGAUACAUAUGGAUGUUACACUCAUAGAAGCUCACAUUGACUGAUGGCCCUGAGACAGCUGAGCAAGACACUGGCUUAAAAAGAGGGAAAGGACUACCUGCUUGUUGACAUAUGUACCUUACUGAUGCUUGAGAUAAGUCACUUAACAGAGUUGUAUGUCCAACCCCAGGCAUAUUUUUCAACAAAAAAAAAAUUCCUCAUAAUAUUAUGUUGUAAUUAAGCACAAUCAAACUAUUUUUGGGUCUUGCUUCUACUACUGCUUCAAACACACCAGGCAUUCUAGCACCUACAUAAGUGACUGUACCUGAUUGUAAUGCACAGUGACGCAGAGCUCAUUGUCAAACUUUAACGGUUGGGACCAGAUCACCCUUCUGAACCAGAAGCUGUAGUUACUGUCGAUUUGUUCAGCCUCUGUGGCAAUAUCCAGGAUGUACUCCCUCUUGUUUAGUGGGCGGACAUUCUGACCUUGAGAAAUAAACAAAUAACAGUUUAAUGGUGAGAAUUAAGUUGCUUGUUUAGUUUUCCUUUUCCCCUUUCCUCAGCCUAAAAAUUGGGAAACUAGCUAAUUCUUUAGAUUCUUUAGGAAAUAACUGAUUACUCUCAACCUGUAUCUCUUCACAGAGGAAUUCUGCUGGAAAUACAUUAGUCAAUUAUUGACCACCGCUAUGAGAAACAUGCAGUCUCACAUUGGCUCUUACCUCUGGUUGUGACCACAAAAAUGGCAUAUUCAUCCAUGGCUUCAAGCCUUUGCAGGGCCAUCUCGUAACACAGCUCCUCAAUGACAUCAAGAGCAAUCUGAACACACAUAUCAGAAGCACAUUACAGUACCCCAACAUGAAAGGUGACGCUCAAUUCCUCCCGGGAGAAGGAACAGCUGCCGCUUGGAGCUUCGGCCAGCCUAAGGGAAGCAGGACCACACUGCUGGUUAUCCACAGAUCACUGAACAGUACAGCACUGAGGACUCCGUUAAUCUCAAGAGUGCACUGACCAUCAUGGCCUUCAGCUCCAUACUGUUGGGGAAUACGCUCCGCCCACCGUACUGAAAGGUCUUCCUCAGGUUCUGUUCGCAGGCUUUAGCAAUGCCUGCCAACAUAAUCCAUGUGUCAAUAAAAAGGCCCCUCGAAGCUGAUCUAUGAAAGACUACCAUAUACUUGCAAUUAUAAUUUAAAGUGCAUAUUGAAUCAGUGCUCUAUAUUAACUUGGAGUCUCUCUGCAAAAAGACAAUAAUGAAUAUACCAACCAUACAUACAUAGUGUAUGACCCUUGCAAGGGAUUUUUAUGAUUGCUAGGUAUGUCCAACUGAGUAACCAUAGUUUUUGUUCCUCAGGGUGCCAUUGUCCAUCCUUUAAGACCUUAUAAUUGUGGUGUGUGUACACCUGUUCUGCUGCUAUUGCAUUUCUCAUGUGUUAAACAGAUAGUAAACAGGUCUGGAUCUGAGGGUGACAGUUGAGCCAUAUACCUUGGAAGAGUACUCCUGGGCUCCUGCAGACAUCCUGCAGGUACUUGAACACGAAGGGCUUCAGCACCUCAGAGCAGCGGUAAUAUGCAGUGAGAAUAUACAGCAGCCUCCAGCCCCUCUGGCAGCUGUCUCUGCAAACAAUGGGAAUAUGGAACAAUCAGGGAACCAGAACCUUCCUGGAGCCCCUUAAAGAUCUGACAGUUUGAGUCAGAAAUCUGUACGGGAUGUAUCCCAUCUUACGCUUUUGAGCUGGUGUUGGCGGUAAUCUGCUUAAGGACCUGGCAGUAAGCCUCAUCCUUCAUCAGUCCAUAUUCUCCAAUGAGCUGUGGAAAGGGUAUUGGUAAUCACCAAUGAAAUAAUACAUGACAGCGCAAAAUAAUAGCCUACACAACAUAUUUAUAGGGCAAAGCAGAACAUUUUAUCAUGUUCAUUCAAAGACACACAUUUCAAAAUGCAUUUUCUGGAUCUGCAUUGCCCAUGUCAGAGAAGAGAUUAGCUUUGUACCUUCAGAAAUGUGCAGACGGCAUCUUGCUCUGUCUGGCCUCUGAGAGGAGAGUCUCCCAUGAACCUCAUCACAGCUGUAAUGGAGCAGAGACUGAGAGAUGAGAGCACUGGGAGCACCAUGACAUAUGCAUCAUUGCACUUCUGUAAACACCAAGAUUAGGAAGGGCAACUUUGAAAGCAAGCAAGGCUUUAAUUUUGGCUGUGUUUAGAAUACCAAGGGAAAAUUAGCGUCUCUAGGCCAUGAUCCCAAAUAUUGUUAUGGUUUCUUCACAUUGACUAAUUGUACACUGUCAGGUUUAAAUUAAAGUUGAUGCUAAACUUGCAA